rnacentral:tRNA from 4 species
GCCCCCGUAGCUCAGCGGAUAGAGCAGGUGCCUUCUAAGCACUUGGCCGCAGGUUCGAGUCCUGCCGGGGGCACCA